rnacentral:rRNA from 1 species
UACAGAGGUCCCGAGCGUUGUUCGGAUUCACUGGGCGUAAAGGGCGCGUAGGCGGCCUGCUAAGUCGAACGUGAAAUCCCUGGGCUCAACCCAGGAGCUGCGUCCGAUACUGGUUGGCUUGAAUCCGGGAGAGGGACGUGGAAUUCCAGGUGUAGCGGUGAAAUGCGUAGAUAUCUGGAGGAACACCGGUGGCGAAGGCGACGUCCUGGACCGGCAUUGACGCUGAGGCGCGAAAGCCAGGGGAGCAAACGGG